GUUUGAAUCUCUCUCAGUCAGGGGGGAUUGACUGACAGACGAACGUUACUCUACCAAACGGUUAUUCACUUAUAAAACCUUUUAAAGUUUAGCGCUAACGUUUCCAGCGCAAGUUUGAAUCUCUCUCAGUCAGUCAGGGGGGAGAUUGACUGACUGACUGACUACUCGCCACCAAACUGUCAUUUACCCAGAAACCUUUUAAAGUUUAACACAAACGUUUCCUGCACAAGUUUGAAUCUCUCUGUCAGGGGGGAGAUUGACUGACUGACUGACUACUCGCCACCAAACAGUUAUUUACCCAGAAACCUUUUAAAGUUUAGCACAAACGUUUCCUGCGCAAGUUUGGAUCUUUACCAUUCAGGAGACUGGCUGACUGUUCUCAACUAACCAUCAUUCACACGCAAAAACUUUAAAGAUAAGUAUGAAAGUGCCCAGAGCAGUUUUCGAUGUUUACCAUUAAGGAGGCUGACUGACUAUCAUCUACCACCCGUCAUUAACACAACAAAAACUAAAGAAAUAUUACUCCAUAUGGACCUAUUCAUUUACUCAUUAUGCUGUGAGUACACCACAGUUUUAUCAGUGAAAAAAUGUAUAUUUGUGUGUUUUCUCACUGCUUGGCAUGGACAGAUGUGGCCCUGUUAAAAAUGUUUAAAUGUUGUUUGGUUUAAGGAACAGCACACUGAUUUUGUUAUAAAAUAUUCCUGUUUGGACAGUCUGUUGAAGUCAUAAAGGAAUGGUUGAUAUAUUUCAUAAGGAAAGUGUAAAUGUAAUAUUAGUUUUUAAUGUUGUGAAUUUGGACUGAACAACACACUUCUGUUUUAUAUCUAAACCUUUUGUAAAAUAAAUG